CCGGAGUCUGAUCACCGUUGCCGCCUAGGAUGGCUUCUGGGGCUGCCGCCGAACCGGUUCGGAGACCGCCGCUGUUUCGGUUCAGCCAUUCCUUUCGGUUCGAGUCGUUGCGACUGUUG